rnacentral:rRNA from 1 species
GGUGCGGCGAGAGUCGUAUGCCGUGACAAAUUUGGCAAACUUUUGGGUGCUUCGGCGAUGGUUUUUGACGGCCUCACCGAUCCGGCAAGUCUGGAGGCACAAGCAUGCAGCGAAGCACUAGCCCUAGCCUGGGAUUUGAAUCUGCAGGAUCUAGUCGUUGCCUUAGAUUGUGCUGAAGUGAUUUCAAACAUCAAAUCUGCAGGUUCUCCAUCUUAUGCUCCUAUCAUUAGAGAAAUUCAAACUAGUAGCAAUAAUUUUUCUUCUGUUGAUUUCCGUUUCAAGAGUAGAGUCAAUAAUUUUAAGGCCCACUCGCUAGCUAAGGGAGCUGCGUCUCUCGCGGUAGGCCGCCAUGUGUGGCUAGCGGUUUUGCCAGAGAUUGCUUGUAUUCGUGAACUUUCAAUAAAAUCCCUAGUUACCCUAAAAAAAGCCCGACUAGCCAAGAUGGCCAAAGGCACGCGCCGCCGCCGGCGAUGGACUCGCGGACCAUAUCCUCCGCGACGUUUUCGAGCAUCUGCCGUGAUUCCAGGACCUCCUCCGCUGCGCAGCGACGUGCAAGCGGUGGCACCAGCUCCUCACGGACCCGGUCUUCCUCCGGCCCCUCGGCAUCUGGCCCGAGACGGCGCGCCGCCCCUUCGUCCUCGUUGGGGUUUUCUACCAAGAAUGGUAUCCCUCCCCCUGGCGACGCGCUUCAACUUCUGA